rnacentral:rRNA from 1 species
UACGUAGGGGGGCGAGCGUUGUCCGGAGUACUGGGCGUAAAGCGCACGCAGGCGGUCUGCUAAAGUUUGGAGUGACAGUUGAUGGCUCAACCAUCAAAGUGCUUCGAAAACUGACAGACUUGAGGGCUUCAGAGGGACACGGAAUUCCGGGUGGAGUGGUGGAAAUGCGUAGAGAUCCGGAGGAACACCGAAGGCGAAGGCAGUGUCCUGGGGAGUACCU